rnacentral:rRNA from 1 species
UACGAAGGAUGCAAGCGUUAUCCGGAUUCAUUGGGUUUAAAGGGUGCGUAGGCGGACUGAUAAGUCAGUGGUGAAAUCUCUUUGCUUAACAAAGAAACUGCCAUUGAUACUGUCGGUCUAGAGUAUAGAUGACGUUGGCGGAAUAUGACAUGUAGUGGUGAAAUACUUAGAUAUGUCAUAGAACACCGAUUGCGAAGGCAGCUAACGAAACUAUAACUGACGCUGAGGCACGAAAGUGCGGGAUCAAACAGG